ensembl:lncRNA
CCCAGGGAAAGACUAGACACACCUCACCACCACCACCACCACUACUACUACUACUACUACUACUACUGCCCAGGUAAAGACUAGAACACACCUCACCACUACUAGUACUACUACUACUACUACUACCCAGGUAAAGACUAGAACACACCUCACCACUACUAGUACUACUACUACUACUACUACCCAGGUAAAGACUAGAACACACCUCACCACUACUAGUACUACUACUACUACUACUACCCAGGUAAAGACUAGAACACACCUCACCACUACUAGUACUACUACUACUACUACUACCCAGGUAAAGACUACAACACACCUCACCACCACCACUACUACAACCACCACCACUACUACUACUACUACUACUACUACUGCCCAGGUAAAGACUAGACACACCUCA